rnacentral:sRNA from 12 species
CUCGUGUUUGAUUCGUCGCAUGGCCGGGUUGAAAGGGGUAAAAGCUGGGGUGACGACCGGAUGAAAAAUCCGGGGGGCGAAGC